UACGGGGGGGGCAAGCGUUGUUCGGAAUUACUGGGCGUAAAGGGCGCGUAGGCGGCCUGCUAAGUCGGACGUGAAAUCCCUCGGCUCAACCGGGGAACUGCGUCCGAUACUGGCGAGCUUGAAUCCGGGAGAGGGAUGUGGAAUUCCAGGUGUAGCGGUGAAAUGCGUAGAUAUCUGGAGGAACACCGAGUGGCAGGAGGCGCAUCCUGGACCGGUAUUGACGCUGAGGCGCGAAAGCUAGGGGAGCAAACGGG
rnacentral:rRNA from 1 species